UACGUAGGGGGCAAGCGUUGUCCGGAUUUAUUGGGCGUAAAGAGCGUGUAGGCGGUUUGGUAGGUCCGUUGUGAAAACUCGAGGCUCAACCUCGAGACGCCGAUGGAAACCAUCAGACUAGAGUCCGGAAGAGGAGAGUGGAAUUCCUGGUGUAGCGGUGAAAUGCGCAGAUAUCAGGAGGAACACCAAUAGCGAAGGCAGCUCGCUGGGACGGUACUGACGCUAAGGCGCGAAGGCGUGGGGAGCGAACAGG
rnacentral:rRNA from 1 species